rnacentral:tRNA from 1 species
GUCUCUGUGGCACAAUUGGUUAGUGCGUUCGGCUGUUAACCGAAAGGUUGGUGGUUUGGGCCCACUGAGGGACG